AACGAACGCUGGCGGCGCGUCUUAAACAUGCAAGUCGAACGGCAGGAAGGGGCUUGCCCCUUCUGAGAGUGGCGGACUGGUGAGUAACACGUGGGUGACAUACCUUUUAGUUGGGGAUAGCUAUUAGAAAUAGUAGGUAAUACCGAAUGUGACCGUACCUGUUAGAGGGGUACGAGGAAAGGAGCUAAGGCUUCGCUAAAAGAAUGGCUCGCGGCCCAUUAUGCUCGUUGGUGAGGUAACGGCCCACCAAGGCGAUGAUGGGUAUCCGGCCUGAGAGGGUGAACGGACACAUUGGGACUGAGAUACGGCCCAGACUUCUACGGGAGGCAGCAGUGAAGAAUAUUCCGCAAAGGACGAAAGUCUGACGGAGCGACGCCGCGUGGAUGAAGAAUGCCGAAAGGUUGUAAAAUCCUUUUAAGCCUGAUGAAUAAGCACAGUAGGGAAUGAUUGUGCGGUGACCGUAGGGCUUGAAUAAGCACCGGCUAAUUACGUG
rnacentral:rRNA from 1 species